CUAUUACUAUCUAUAAAAUUGUAAGUGUAGGCGUGAUUUGGCGGCGAGUUCCCUCCUCACUUUGUACUCUCGCGUGUGGAUGUAUAUAUCUUCAAAUGUACCGUUGGAUUGCUGUCUUUCUUCUAAUAGAUGGCUAUGAUGGGCAGUUGCUUUUCAUUUGUUUGUUUAUAUAGUUUUGUCUUCUUUGGUCCCAGUUUGUGCACGUGUCAAUGCAAGGGUAGUAAACAUCUGAAAUCUGGUGCAUGCACCUGCUUUUUACUUCGCCUGAGGCCUUGCUUUUCUUGGGUUCAUGCACGGGGAUUGGAGUCUUGCUUUCUUCUCCCCUCCCAAUACAACUCAGCGACCCAUCGUUGAUCUUCUUGGGUUCAUCGUUCAUCUUUGCAAUUCUUUGCUCUUUUCAUGUUGGGUGAUUAGAUCCACUCAUCUGGUGCGUUUCUGUGGUUUUUUCCCAGGUCAUCGAUUACAUGGGCACAUGCGAGCCUGAUUUGACUAGGCGUAUCUCGGAUCUCCGUCGAUUCUCCCGCGUUCCAUGGAAUUGCACCUUCGAUUUCGUCCGUUGUCAAGAAUACAGUCGGGAAAAGGAAGGUUAGCCUAACAGUUCAAAAAUUCAAUAUCAUGUGGUUGCAACUGUAAGGAGUAGAGCUCUAACUAAUAUCUCCAAAGAUCAUUAUGCUUUGAUGUUGGUGGUGGAAACUCAGCAGCUUCUCAUUCAACCAAGUGCGGCGUAUCGGUUUCUCUCACCUAAUUGAAUUAUCAUUUCCUUUGACAUUUUAGGGGGCUUGCGUGGAGGACUAGGUUAACUUUUCAGUGGCCACUACAGGACACAACCGAGUGCUUUGACCAAUUUUCCAAUUGACAAGGGGCUAGGAUAAACUUCAAUAUAAGUUCCCUCUCUAUUUGUUCUCUAUUUCAAAGCGUAUUUUGUGGUAUUGUUUAAGUCCUCCAUUUUUAUUAUUGUUAUCCUUUACAAACUCUAAAAGAUUUUUCACUACGAUUAUUGUACAAGUACAAAGAUAAUGAUAUGUUAUAAACAGAGUGGAAUAAAAUAAAGAUAUGAAGUUUACAUGAA